GCUUAACACAUGCAAGUCGAGGGGCAGCAUGGUCUUAGCUUGCUAAGGCCGAUGGCGACCGGCGCACGGGUGAGUAACACGUAUCCAACCUGCCGUCUACUCUUGGACAGCCUUCUGAAAGGAAGAUUAAUACAAGAUGGCAUCAUGAGUCCGCAUGUUCACAUGAUUAAAGGUAUUCCGGUAGACGAUGGGGAUGCGUUCCAUUAGAUAGUAGGCGGGGUAACGGCCCACCUAGUCUUCGAUGGAUAGGGGUUCUGAGAGGAAGGUCCCCCACAUUGGAACUGAGACACGGUCCAAACUCCUACGGGAGGCAGCAGUGAGGAAUAUUGGUCAAUGGGCGAGAGCCUGAACCAGCCAAGUAGCGUGAAGGAUGACUGCCCUAUGGGUUGUAAACUUCUUUUAUAAAGGAAUAAAGUCGGGUAUGGAUACCCGUUUGCAUGUACUUUAUGAAUAAGGAUCGGCUAACUCCGUGCCAGCAGCCGCGGUAAUACGGAGGAUCCGAGCGUUAUCCGGAUUUAUUGGGUUUAAAGGGAGCGUAGAUGGAUGUUUAAGUCAGUUGUGAAAGUUUGCGGCUCAACCGUAAAAUUGCAGUUGAUACUGGAUAUCUUGAGUGCAGUUGAGGCAGGCGGAAUUCGUGGUGUAGCGGUGAAAUGCUUAGAUAUCACGAAGAACUCCGAUUGCGAAGGCAGCCUGCUAAGCUGCAACUGACAUUGAGGCUCGAAAGUGUGGGUAUCAAACAGGAUUAGAUACCCUGGUAGUCCACACGGUAAACGAUGAAUACUCGCUGUUUGCGAUAUACAGCAAGCGGCCAAGCGAAAGCGUUAAGUAUUCCACCUGGGGAGUACGCCGGCAACGGUGAAACUCAAAGGAAUUGACGGGGGCCCGCACAAGCGGAGGAACAUGUGGUUUAAUUCGAUGAUACGCGAGGAACCUUACCCGGGCUUAAAUUGCAGAUGAAUUACGGUGAAAGCCGUAAGCCGCAAGGCAUCUGUGAAGGUGCUGCAUGGUUGUCGUCAGCUCGUGCCGUGAGGUGUCGGCUUAAGCGCCAUAACGAGCGCAACCCUUGUUGUCAGUUACUAACAGGUUCCGCUGAGGACUCUGACAAGACUGCCAUCGUAAGAUGUGAGGAAGGUGGGGAUGACGUCAAAUCAGCACGGCCCUUACGUCCGGGGCUACACACGUGUUACAAUGGGGGGUACAGAGGGCCGCUACCACGCGAGUGGAUGCCAAUCCCCAAAACCUCUCUCAGUUCGGACUGGAGUCUGCAACCCGACUCCACGAAGCUGGAUUCGCUAGUAAUCGCGCAUCAGCCACGGCGCGGUGAAUACGUUCCCGGGCCUUGUACACACCGCCCGUCAAGCCAUGGGAGCCGGGGGUACCUGAAGUGCGUAACCGCGAGGAGCGCCCUAGGGUAAAACUGGUGACUGGGGC
rnacentral:rRNA from 1 species